UACAGAGGGGGCAAGCGUUGUUCGGAAUUACUGGGCGUAAAGGGCGCGUAGGCGGCCUUCUAAGUCGAACGUGAAAUCCCCGGGCUCAACCCGGGAACUGCGUCCGAUACUGGGAGGCUUGAAUCCGGGAGAGGGAUGUGGAAUUCCAGGUGUAGCGGUGAAAUGCGUAGAUAUCUGGAGGAACACCGGUGGCGAAGGCGGCAUCCUGGACCGACACUGACACUGAGGAGCGAAAGCCAGGGGAGCAAACGGG
rnacentral:rRNA from 1 species